rnacentral:ribozyme from 1 species
AGAAGAGAAAAGGAAAGAGAGGAAAAGGAGGAGGAAUGCUUUUUUUUUGUUUUGGUUUUUUUUUUGACUUUUUUUUUUUGAUUGUUUUGUUUUCUGUGUUAUGUUUUGUUGCAUUUCUCGAUCUUAAAAUAAUCGGGUGAGUGGGUGGUUUUUGGAAAGGAGACAGAGAGAAUAAAAUAAAUAAAAUUUGUA